AGAGUUUGAUCAUGGCUCAGAGUGAACGCUGGCGGCGUGCUUAACACAUGCAAGUCGAACGAGAACGGAUUAUAGCUUGCUAUAAUUGUCAGCUAAGUGGCGCACGGGUGAGUAAUAUAUAGGUAACAUGCCCUAGAGAGGGGGAUAACAGAUGGAAACGUCUGCUAACACCCCAUAUGCCUUAAGACCUAAGUCUGCAAGGGAAACAUUUAUGGCUCUAGGAUUGGCCUGUACGGUAUCAGUUAGUUGGUGAGGUAAUGGCUCACCAAGACAAUGACACCUAACUGGUUUGAGAGGAUGAUCAGUCACACUGGAACUGAGACACGGUCCAGACUCCUACGGGAGGCAGCAGUGGGGAAUAUUGCACAAUGGACGAAAGUCUGAUGCAGCAACGCCGCGUGGAGGAUGACACAUUUCGGUGCGUAAACUCCUUUUAUAUAGGAAGAUAAUGACGGUACUAUAUGAAUAAGCACCGGCUAACUCCGUGCCAGCAGCCGCGGUAAUACGGAGGGUGCAAGCGUUACUCGGAAUUACUGGGCGUAAAGAGCGUGUAGGCGGGUAAAUAAGUUGGAAGUGAAAUCCUAUGGCUCAACCAUAGAACUGCUUCCAAAACUGUUAACCUAGAAUGUGGGAGAGGUAGAUGGAAUUUCUGGUGUAGGGGUAAAAUCCGUAGAUAUCAGAAGGAAUACCGAUUGCGAAGGCGAUCUACUGGAACACAAUUGACGCUGAGACGCGAAAGCGUGGGGAGCAAACAGGAUUAGAUACCCUGGUAGUCCACGCCCUAAACGAUGUACACUAGUUGUUGUGAGGCUAGACCUUGCAGUAAUGCAGUUAACACAUUAAGUGUACCGCCUGGGGAGUACGGUCGCAAGAUUAAAACUCAAAGGAAUUGACGGG
rnacentral:rRNA from 1 species